rnacentral:rRNA from 1 species
UACGGGGGGGGCAAGCGUUGUUCGGAAUUACUGGGCGUAAAGCGCACGUAGGCGGGUUGUUAAGUCAGGGGUGAAAUCCUGGAGCUCAACUCCAGAACUGCCUUUGAUACUGGCAACCUAGAGACUGGAAGAGGUUAGUGGAAUUCCCAGUGUAGAGGUGAAAUUCGUAGAUAUUGGGAAGAACACCAGUGGCGAAGGCGGCUAACUGGUCCAGCACUGACGCUGAGGUGCGAAAGCGUGGGGAGCAAACAGG